GUCGGGCGCAGUGGUGCGUGCCUGUAGUCCCAGCUACUCGGGAGUCUGAGAUGGGAGGAUCGCUUGAGCCCAGGAGUUCUGGGCUGCAGUGCGCUAUGCCGAUCGGGUGUGUGCACUAAGUUCGGCAUCAAUAUGGUGACCUCCCGGGAGCGGGGGACCACCAGGUUGCCUAAGGAGGGAUGAACCGGCCCAGGUAAGAAAUGGAGCAGGUCAAAACUCCAGUGCUGAUCAGUAGUGGGAUUGCACCUGUGAAUAGCCACUGCACUCCAGCCUGGGCAACAUAGCAAGACCACGUCUCU
ensembl:misc_RNA Metazoa_SRP Metazoan signal recognition particle RNA